GACGAACGCUGGCGGCGUGCUUAACACAUGCAAGUCGAACGGGAUCCCAAGGCUUUUUGUUUUUGGUGAGAGUGGCGAACGGGUGAGUAACACGUGAGUAACCUGCCCCCUUCUUUUGGAUAACCGCAUGAAAGUGUGGCUAAUACAGGAUAUUCCAGGCUGGUCGCAUGAUUGGUUUGGGAAAUGGUUUGGUCUGGUGGGGGAUGGGCUCGCGGCCUAUCAGCUUGUUGGUGGGGUGAUGGCCUACCAAGGCGGUGACGGGUAGCCGGCCUGAGAGGGUGGGCGGUCACACUGGGACUGAGAUACGGCCCAGACUCCUACGGGAGGCAGCAGUGGGGGAUUUUGCACAAUGGGCGCAAGCCUGAUGCAGCGACGCCGCGUGAGGGAUGAAGGCCUUCGGGUUGUAAACCUCUUUCGCUGGGUUGAAAGGCCAUGCUUGGGGUGUGGUUGAUUUGAACUGGUAAAGAAGUACCGGCUAACUACGUG
rnacentral:rRNA from 1 species